CUGCCAAGGGAUGUUGUUGUUGGACUUGGGCGGCUGAAGCAGGAGGGUCACUUGGGAUCGGGAGUUCUGGGCUGCUGUGCCCUAUGCCAGUCGGAUGUUCACAUUAAGUUCGGCAUCAAUAUGGUGAUCUCUUGGGAGUGGGAGACCACCAGCUUGCCUAAGGAAGGAUGAGCCAGCCCAGGUUGGAAACAGAACAAGUCAACUCCUGUGCUGAUCAGUAGUGGGAUCGUGCCUGUGAAGAGCCAUUUCACUCCAGCCUGAAUAAAAAUAAAAAGUGGCAU
rnacentral:SRP_RNA from 1 species